CCUUUGACGUUAGCGGCGGACGGGUGAGUAACACGUGGGUAACCUACCUAUAAGACUGGGAUAACUUCGGGAAACCGGAGCUAAUACCGGAUAAUAUUUCGAACCGCAUGGUUCGAUAGUGAAAGGUGGUUUUGCUAUCACUUAUAGAUGGACCCGCGCCGUAUUAGCUAGUUGGUAAGGUAACGGCUUACCAAGGCGACGAUACGUANCCGACCUGAGAGGGUGAUCGGCCACACUGGAACUGAGACACGGUCCAGACUCCUACGGGAGGCAGCAGAC
rnacentral:rRNA from 1 species